rnacentral:antisense_RNA from 2 species
CUUUGCGGUGGGCUGUGCGCGGGGCACUUUCGAGUGCGCCGGGUGCCUGACUUCCCGGUUGACCAACCUGCGUAUAGCCCACCACCCCU